rnacentral:hammerhead_ribozyme from 1 species
GCACUGUUGAGGACUCCCACAAUAGGACGAAACGGCCGUCCAGUGC